CACAUCACGUCGUAAUACCGGUCUCAUUACGAUCACCGAAGUUAAGCAAUAUCGAGCCUGGUCAGUACCUAGAUGGGUGAUCGCUUGUGAAUACUAGUCACUGUAAG